UUAAAUCCAAGCAAGUCGCCGUCACCUCCCAAGUCUGAACCCAAUUCAAAUCGAUUUAGGAUUUUAGGUCAUCCGUCAUCUCCCAAGCAAGUCGCCGUCAUCCCUCAACCAACAACAUCGACGUCGCCGUCCCCGUCCGGUCCCUUCCCCCUUCGGCCAACACCCAACAGAGCACACCAGCAGCAAAUUAGCUCUCGUCACCGAGCGAUCCGCAACAACGCCGAUGUUCUCGCUUCCAACCCGCUCCGAGAAGCUUCCGGUCCCGAAGGAUCGAGUUGUAGAGCAACUUCAGGUGCUCUAGGUCGUGGAGGCUGUCAGAGAAGCGCCGGAUUGUCUUCAGAAGAGAAACUCUGGUCUCCAGGGCUUCAAUUGACGAUGGAUCCAGAGCCAGAUCCCAGAAUUUUCAAUCUGAGAAGACGGUUAAAUCGGUCAGAGCCGGUUACUUAACCGACUGGUCGGUUAUCGGUCGGUCAUUUAACCGUUGCAUCUGGGCGGUCGUUUAAAUCGAUCAACCGAUUUCAAACUUCGAAUCGUUUUCC
rnacentral:lncRNA from 1 species